CCUACGGGAGGCAGCAGUGAGGAAUAUUGGUCAAUGGGCGCGAGCCUGAACCAGCCAAGUAGCGUGAAGGAUGACUGCCCUACGGGUUGUAAACUUCUUUUAUAAAGGAAUAAAGUGAGGCACGUGUGCCUUUUUGUAUGUAUUUUAUGAAUAAGGAUCGGCUAACUCCGUGCCAGCAGCCGCGGUAAUACGGAGGAUCCGAGCGUUAUCCGGAUUUAUUGGGGUUAAAGGGAGCGUAGGGGGGUUGUUAAGUCAGUUGUGAAAGUUUGAGGCUCAACCGUAAAAUUGCAAUUGAUACUGGCAGCCUUGAGUACAGUUGAGGUAGGCGGAAUUCGUGGUGUAGCGGUGAAAUGCUUAGAUAUCACGAAGAACUCCGAUUGCGAAGGCAGCAUACUAACCUGCCACUGACAUUGAUGCUCGAAAGUGUGGGUAUCAAACAGGAUUAGAUACCCCAGUAGUC
rnacentral:rRNA from 1 species